rnacentral:rRNA from 1 species
GACGAACGCUGGCGGCGUGCUUAACACAUGCAAGUCGAACGGAAAGGCCCUGCUUUUGUGGGGUGCUCGAGUGGCGAACGGGUGAGUAACACGUGAGUAACCUGCCCUUGACUUUGGGAUAACUUCAGGAAACUGGGGCUAAUACCGGAUAGGAGCUCCUGCUGCUUGGUGGGGGUUGGAAAGUUUCGGCGGUUGGGGAUGGACUCGCGGCUUAUCAGCUUGUUUGUGGGGUAGUGUCUUACCAAGGCUUUGACGGGUAGCCGGCCUGAGAGGGUGACCGGCCACAUUGGGACUGAGAUACGGUCCAGACUCCUACGGGAGGCAGCAGUGGGGAAUAGUGCACAAUGGGCGGAAGCCUGAUGCAGCAACGCCGCGUGCGGGAUGACGGCCUUCGGGUUGUAAACCGCUUUCGCCUGUGACGAAGCGUGAGUGACGGUAAUGGGUAAAGAAGCACCGGCUAACUACGUG